GUCUGAUGAAGCUCCAACAGAAAGUAUGAACGCUGUCUCUCCUGACCAGCUGGAUGAGUCUCCGUACUACGGACGGACUUCAGACGCCAGCAGCACCAGCGCAGAGCAGACAGACGCCGUGGCAGCCAAUCAGGUGACAGCAGCAG